UACGUAGGGGGCAAGCGUUAUCCGGAAUUACUGGGCGUAAAGCGCACGCAGGCGGUUCGCCAAGUUUGGAGUGACAGUUGUCGGCUCAACCGACAAAGGACUUCAAAAACUGGUGAACUUGAGGACGAGAGAGGAACAUGGAACUCCAGGUGUAGUAGUGAAAUGCGUAGAUAUCUGGAAGAACACCAAUGGCGAAGGCAAUGUUCUGGCUCGUUUCUGACGCUGAGGAGCGAAAGCGUGGGGAGCGAACAGG
rnacentral:rRNA from 1 species